AGAGUUUGAUCCUGGCUCAGAUUGAACGCUGGCGGCAUGCCUUACACAUGCAAGUCGAACGGCAGCGCGGGGGGUAACUCCUGGCGGCGAGUGGCGAACGGGUGAGUAAUAUAUCGGAACGUGCCCUGGAGUGGGGGAUAACUAGUCGAAAGAUUAGCUAAUACCGCAUACGAUCUACGGAUGAAAGUGGGGGAUUCGCAAGAACCUCAUGCUCGUGGAGCGGCCGAUAUCUGAUUAGCUAGUUGGUAGGGUAAAAGCCUACCAAGGCGACGAUCAGUAGCUGGUUUGAGAGAACGACCAGCCACACUGGGACUGAGACACGGCCCAGACUCCUACGGGAGGCAGCAGUGGGGAAUUUUGGACAAUGGGGGCAACCCUGAUCCAGCAAUGCCGCGUGUGUGAAGAAGGCCUUCGGGUUAUAAAGCACUUUUGUCAGGGAAGAAACGG
rnacentral:rRNA from 1 species